GAUGAACGCUGGCGGCGUGCUUAACACAUGCAAGUCGAGCGAAGCGAUUUAAAUGAGACUUCGGUGGAUUUUAAAUUGACUGAGCGGCGGACGGGUGAGUAACGCGUGGAUAACCUGCCUCACACAGGGGGAUAACAGUUAGAAAUGACUGCUAAUACCGCAUAAGCGCACGGUACCGCAUGGUACAGUGUGAAAAACUCCGGUGGUGUGAGAUGGAUCCGCGUCUGAUUAGGUAGUUGGUGAGGUAACGGCCCACCAAGCCGACGAUCAGUAGCCGACCUGAGAGGGUGAUCGGCCACAUUGGGACUGAGACACGGCCCAAACUCCUACGGGAGGCAGCAGUGGGGAAUAUUGCACAAUGGGCGAAAGCCUGAUGCAGCAACGCCGCGUGAGUGAAGAAGUAUCUCGGUAUGUAAAGCUCUAUCAGCAGGGAAGAAA
rnacentral:rRNA from 1 species